UACAGAGGUCCCGAGCGUUGUUCGGAUUCACUGGGCGUAAAGGGUGCGUAGGUGGUGAGGAAAGUCGGAUGUGAAAUCUCCGGGCUUAACCCGGAAACUGCAUUGGAAACUACCUUGCUAGAGGUUUUGAGGGGGGACUGGAAUUCUCGGUGUAGCAGUGAAAUGCGUAGAUAUCGAGAGGAACACCAGUGGCGAAGGCGAGUCCCUGGAAAACACCUGACACUGAGGCACGAAAGCUAGGGGAGCAAACAGG
rnacentral:rRNA from 1 species